ACACGACUACAUUAGAUACCCCCGUAGUCCUAGCCGUAAACGAUACUCGCUAGGUGUCGGCCACGGUGCGACCGUUGUCGGUGCCGUAGGGAAGCCGUGAAGCGAGCCACCUGGGAAGUACGGCCGCAAGGCUGAAACUUAAAGGAAUUGGCGGGGGAGCACCGCAACGGGAGGAGCGUGCGGUUUAAUUGGAUUCAACACCGUAAAACUCACCAGGGAAGACUGUUACAUGAAGGCCGAGAUGAAGACUCUGCUAGAUUUUCAG
rnacentral:rRNA from 1 species